UACGGAGGGUGCAAGCGUUGUCCGGAUUUAUUGGGUUUAAAGGGUGCGUAGGCGGCCAAUUAAGUCAGUGGUGAAAGCCGAUAGCUUAACUAUCGAACUGCCAUUGAUACUGAUUGGCUUGAGUACAGUUGAGGUAGUUGGAAUGAGUAGUGUAGCGGUGAAAUGCAUAGAUAUUACUCAGAACACCGAUUGCGAAGGCAGAUUACUAAACUGAUACUGACGCUGAGGCACGAAAGUGUGGGGAUCAAAC
rnacentral:rRNA from 1 species